rnacentral:rRNA from 1 species
GUGGGGAAUCUUGCGCAAUGGGCGAAAGCCUGACGCAGCCAUGCCGCGUGAAUGAUGAAGGUCUUAGGAUUGUAAAAUUCUUUCACCGGGGACGAUAAUGACGGUACCCGGAGAAGAAGCCCCGGCUAACUUCGUGCCAGCAGCCGCGGUAAUACGAAGGGGGCUAGCGUUGCUCGGAAUUACUGGGCGUAAAGGGCGCGUAGGCGGAUCGUUAAGUCAGAGGUGAAGUCCCAGGGCUCAACCCUGGAACUGCCUUUGAUACUGGCGAUCUUGAGUAUGAGAGAGGUAUGUGGAACUCCGAGUGUAGAGGUGAAAUUCGUAGAUAUUCGGAAGAACACCAGUGGCGAAGGCGACAUACUGGCUCAUUACUGACGCUGAGGCGCGAAAGCGUGGGGAGCAAACAGGAUUAGAAACCCUUGUAGUCC